ACCUGGUUGAUCCUGCCAGUGCGCAUACGCUAUUUUUAAAGACUAAGCCAUGCACGUGCUAAGUUCAUACAUUUAAAAUGUGAGACUGCGGACGGCUCAGUAAAUCAGUUAUAAUCUGCUCGAUUGUAAAGGUUAUUGGAUAACCGUGGGAAAUCUAGAGCUAAUACAUGUACUUUGCUGCCAAUUCCGGUUGGUCAGCUGCAUUUAUUAGAGUAAUACCAAUCGUGAGCAAUCGCGGGGUGAAUCUAGAUAACUGUGCAGAUCGUAUGGCCUUGAGCUGACGACAUUUCGAUUGAAUUUCUGCCCUAUCAACUCUGUUGGCAGUGUAGUGGACUGCCAAGGUUUUUACGGGUAACGGGGAAUCAGGGUUCGAUUCCGGAGAGGGAGCCUGAGAAACGGCUACCACAUCCAAGGAAGGCAGCAGGCGCGCAAAUUACCCAAUCCAGACAGUGGGAGGUAGUGACGAAAAGUACCAGGUAGCAGCCAAAAACUGCUAGUUUGGAAUGAAAACAAUUUUAGCAAUUGAUUUGAGAAACUACUGGAGGGCAAGUCUGGUGCCAGCAGCCGCGGUAAUUCCAGCUCCAGUAGCGUAUCUUAAAGUUGCUGCGCUUAAAACGCUCGUAGUUGGAUCACACACUAUGUGGUAGUGUAUUUGUAUUCAUGCAUGUAAACUGUCUUUGUCUAACGACGUGUCAUCACGUCGUCCAGAACUGAUGGUGUGUGUGGUGCAAAUAAAAAGCUAGUACGUAGUAAUUGCACGUGAGUAUGGCUGUUAACCUUUAGUGCGUUGGCAGCUGUGUCUCACGGGAUGUGCCUUGAGUAAAUCAGAGUGCUUAAAGCAGGCGUUGAGCUUGAAUGUUGAUAGCAUGGAACGAACAAUAGUGUAGGUGUAUGUUGAAUAUGGUGUUCUUACUGUCAAAAGUUUGAUCAUCUCAGCAUACGACACCGACCACCAAUUACGGAUGUUGGUUUCGUAUUGGGGUACUGAUUAAGAGGAGCGGUUGGGGGCAUUGGUAUUUGGCAGCGAGAGGUGAAAUUCUUAGACCUGCCAGGGACUAACAAAUGCGAAGGCAUCUGUCCAGACCGUAUCCAUUAAUCAAGAACGAUAGAGAGAGGUUCGAAGACGAUCAGAUACCGUCCUAGUUCUCUCUGUAAACUAUGCCGACCCGGGAUCAGCUUGUUGCAUGAUAUGAGCUCGAGGUUGGUCCCCCUGGGAAACCUAAAGUUUUUCGGUUGCGGGGGGAGUAUGGUCGCAAGGCUGAAACUUAAAGGAAUUGACGGAAGGGCACCACCAGGGGUGGAGCCUGCGGCUUAAUUUGACUCAACACGGGAAAACUUACCUGGUCCGGACAUCAAUAGGAUAAACAGACUAAUUGAUCUUUUUUGAUAUGAUGAUUGGUGGUGCAUGGCCGUUCUUAGUUCGUGGAGUGAUCUGUCAGGCCAAUCCCGGUAACGAACGAGACCACGUUCUUCAUUUGACGAGCCGGAGAAAGUGYCUGCCACGUUCAUGUCUGGCAACAGAUGUGUCCGUGGUUGAUACUGUAGGCAGUUUUAUCGAAAUAGUGUAUGUGGUGGCAACAUUGCAUGCGGUGUUCUUGGUAUUACUCCCUCCGGUCAUGUAGUGUAUGACUCGCAAGAGCCAGAGCUGCAUCAUGAAGAGWCAGGGGACAAUACUUUAAAAUCCUAGGAAGUGUGGCUAUAACAGGUCUGUGAUGCCCYUAGAUGUUCAGGGCUGCACGCGCGCUACAAUGGCGGUGGCAGCAAGUAUCUGUAUCGAAAGAUUCGGGUAAUCUUGUAAUCACCGCCGUGAUGGGGAUCGAUGCUUGUAAAUGCGUCGUGAAAGAGGAAUCCCUAGUACGUGCGAUUCAUUAGAUCGCGCGGAUUUAGUCCCUGCCCUUUGUACACACCGCCCGUCGCUACUACCGAGGGAAUGGUGUCAUAAUACCUUGGGAGCGGAUGUCGCUCUGAGUUUCGGCUUGGGGCGAUGCUGCAAUCAGCGUAGAAUGGCGCAAUUUCGAGGAAGUAAAAGUCGUAACAAGGCUUCCGUAGGUGAACCAGCGGAAG
rnacentral:rRNA from 1 species